GAUGAAGAACGCAGCAAAAUGCGAUAAGUAAUGUGAAUUGCAGAAUUCAGUGAAUCAUCGAAUCUUUGAACGCACAUUGCGCCCGCCAGUAUUCUGGCGGGCAUGCCUGUUCGAGCGUCAUUUCAACCCUCAAGCACAGCUUGGUGUUGGGACUCGCGUUAAUUCGCGUUCCCCAAAUUGAUUGGCGGUCACGUCGAGCUUCCAUAGCGUAGUAGUAAAACCCUCGUUACUGGUAAUCGUCGCGGCCACGCCGUUAAACCCCACCUUCUGAAUGUUGACCUCGGAUCAGGUAGGAAUACCCGCUGAACUUAAGCAUAUCAAUAAGCGGAGGA
rnacentral:misc_RNA from 1 species